ACAAUGUGGUUGGAUUCCACCAUCUGCCAAGAUGGGAUUCAAACCAGGACUUCAGUCGUUUGUUUUAAUAUUUUGGAUAAAAUUUAAAUACAUUAGGAUAUUAAAUCAGAAU